CCCUUAGAUGUCCUGGGCUGCACGCGCGCUACACUGAUGUGUCCAGUAAGCACCUAACCUCUUCCGAAAGGAACGGGUAACCUUUGCAAAGCACAUCGUGAUGGGGAUAGAUUAUUGCAAUUAUUAGUCUUGAACGAGGAAUUCCUAGUAAGCACAAGUCAUCAGCUUGUGUUGAUUACGUCCCUGCCCUUUGUACACACCGCCCGUCGCUCCUACCGAUUGAAUGUUCCGGUGAGCUCUUCGGACUGCGCGGUCUGCAGUUUCUGCGUUCCGUGCGGAAAGUUGCGCAAACCUUCACAUUUAGAGGAAGGAGAAGUCGUAACA
rnacentral:rRNA from 1 species